GAUGAACGCUGGCGGCGUGCCUAAUACAUGCAAGUCGAGCGAACAGACGAGGAGCUUGCUCCUCUGACGUUAGCGGCGGACGGGUGAGUAACACGUGGAUAACCUACCUAUAAGACUGGGAUAACUUCGGGAAACCGGAGCUAAUACCGGAUAACAUGUUGAACCGCAUGGUUCAACAGUGAAAGACGGUCUUGCUGUCACUUAUAGAUGGAUCCGCGCCGCAUUAGCUAGUUGGUAAGGUAAUGGCUUACCAAGGCAACGAUGCGUAGCCGACCUGAGAGGGGGAUCGGCCACACUAGUAGUGAGGCGAGGCCGAGACGCCUACGGGAGGAAGCAGUAGGGAAUAAUACGGAAUGGGCGAAGGACUGAUGAAGCAACGACGCGGGGGUGAAGAAGGUCUUCGGAGCGUAGAGCUCUGUUAUUGGGAGAGAACAAAUGUGUAAGUGACUAUGCGCGGCUUGACGGUACCUGAACAGAAAGCCACGGCUAACUACGUG
rnacentral:rRNA from 1 species